AUGCAAACUUCACAAAAUGAUGAAGUAGAGACGGUCCAUCUUCAGGAAACCACAGUUGCGAAUGUUGGAAAUGUAGUAACGGAAGAAGUUUUGGAAUCCUCCGAUAUCACAGAAAAACCGUUUAAAGUGGAUGUACCAAUCUCAACUAGUAACCAAGCCGAGGUCACGUCACAUGUUGAAGAGAAUGUAGUUUCUUCAUUUGGCACUCCAGAAAUUAUCCAUGACUACUCUGAUACCUCAUCUAACUCUGAAAAGGAACCGGAGUCAGUGAACGUAGAUAAUUAUCAACAACCAUCUUAUGACACGCAGUCACCCAGUGAAUCUGCAACGACGCAGUCAAGUAUCCUUCUCACUGGAAUUUCUGAGUCAGCACAUCCACCCGAACAAGAUAUUGCGCUAGUCCAAAAUACGCCAACCAAAGACAUUCAAACCAAUGACCAGAAGCCAACAGGUACAACAGAAGCUGCAGAGACUCAAACUGAAGUAGUGACAGAGUUGGAGUCUGGAGAUGUGUAUAUACCUGAACAACAGGUGGGUGCUUUAACAGACGAAACUGUGAACACUUCUGGUGGUGAAAAUGCCGAAAACGGCAACCUGGUUCCCCCAAUAGGACAAGCCGAUUCUCAGCCCUCCGUCAAUGUUGAGACUGCACCAAGUCAUUCUGCUGUUACGCCUGAAGCUAUUCCUCCCCCAAUCCAUCAGGAUGAUGUUGAAUCACAUACAGAGAAUAUCGAAUAUCCAUCUCAUAUUUCAGAUCUUGGAUCUAAAGUUCCUGCGGAGACUGCGACGGAAGCAGUCUAUACAACAAAUCAACCUCAUGAUCAGUCAAACAUUGUAGUUGCUCAAGACCAAUCUGAACUUUCGUAUGAUUCUGAGGCAACUCCAGCCGAUCCAAACCAAACUUUUGUUCCAUCCUUACAACAAGCAGCCUCUUCAUAUGAUGUUAACCACGAAGGCUCAACUCAAGCAUCACCAAUGAGUGAAAUCAUUUUCCACGAUGAUAAAGAAAAUAUAUUAAAACCAGAAAGUGAUUCUUCAAUUUAUAUACCAUCAGAUUUCCAAGGAAGUGAAAAUAGCAUUUCCGAAGCAAAUCCAAUUUCACAAUCAAAUGCUCAAGAAAAUAACGAGAUCCACUCCUCGCCGAAUGCUGACUCAUCUGACAGCCAAACGAUCGUAACUCAAACUCUGUCACCUGAAAGUUCUCAAGAUCACUUGCAUUCCGAUGGAAGCAAUGAAACUUCAGAUAAAGAAACACAUACAGAAACUAAUACUUCAGACAAACAUGAAAUUAACGAACAACAUCCACCGAUGAUAAAUGAAGCUGUGAUUGCGGGUGAUGAUGUUCCCUCCUACCCCUCAAAACCUUUGCUUGACACACAGUUAGACUCAGAGUCAAGUAAUCCUAUCACAAGCGGAAUAAAAGAGGAAAAUGUGGCCCAUGACACAAGUUCAGGGAUUGACCAACCUUAUUUACAACCAUCAACUGAGGAGCCAAAUAAACCAUCGAGUGAGUCAGAAUCCUAUGAUAUUGGGCCAGAAUCUACAGAAUCUACUGUUGCUCCUUUAGGCGUGCCCGGUGAAAAUGUGGCUGGUGCCAGUGGCAAGCCCGUCCCAGUGAAAGACGCGGAAGUCAUUGAAGGUGAAUCGGUGGCAACUUUGCACGAUCCCACAGCUGCACCUGAAAUGAGUCAUUCGUCGAAACCAGAAAUUUUACAUCAAGAAUCUAACGAUGAAGUGAUUCCACAAUCGCAAUCUACAGAUGCACCAAUAAAUGUUCAAAGGACCACUGUAAUACCAGUACUUGAAGAUAUACCAUCGGGAGUCACGGAUGAAAUUGAAACAAAUAAUGGAGCCUCGCCAAAUUCCGCACAGCCUGUUAAUGAAAACGCACAAGAGUUAUAUGAUCAGACAACAAACAUAGGAGUUGUCGAGUCGGAUAAAAUACAAGAGGCAAUUUUACCACCUCAAGAGUCAUCAGCAGAUUCAGUAGAGCCACAACAAAAUGUAAUGCCGUCUAAUGCAAAUGACGCCUCAGAUUCUACGGAAGCACCAUCCCAAACGAUCAAUGAUGUUCCGUCCAUUCAACAGGGUGAAGUUUUGCAAACCGUCGACGAAAAUUCUGAAAAUUCCUCUGAAACACCUCUUGUAGCUAAUGGUAUGCCAUCAUCUCCUACAAAUGAAGAAGUUAAACCCUAUUUGACUGAGAGUGAUCCCGUGACCCACGGAACACUCAUUAAUUCAGAGACGCUUGGAAUAAACGUUGAUGAAAAUAUUUCGCAAUCAACCGAAAAAGUUCCAAGUCAGGAUAGUAUUCCUCCUACAUCGCAAGAGGGUGCCGGAGCACAAUUUUUAGGAACUGUUGAAUCUAGUUCUAUCAGUUCCGUACACUUUUCGGAGAUAACUCCUGAAAACGAUGCUCAUAAUGUAGAGAUCAAACCUCCUGCUGAUGAAAUUCUCUCUCAAACCGUAACAGAGAUGACAAAUAAUGUAGAAAUUCCGGUAGACAGUCAAAUUAAUCAAGAGCAAAUCAAUGUAAUAUCUAGUCAAAACAACAUAAAUGAUCAGGCAAACUUAGAUAAGACGGAACAAUCAUUACCUCACUCCAGUGAGCCUCCUCUAAUUAUACAGCACUCUCCUGGGGAGCCAACAGAAGCUCCACUCUCAUCUAAUUCACAGUCUCCCUCUGUUGAUCCCUCUGAUCCAAGUGUACCGUUUGAAACUGGUGCCUUCAACCAAGACAACAUAGGGUACAGUUCUGAAAAUCCUGCCGUUGUCACAGAAAUAGCAUUUGAACAUGGUUCCAAGAAAAAUAUAAGUAGUGUUUUCCCCCAUGAUUCUGACUUUCUUCCAUCAAUUUCAACAGAAUCUACUCCAUUGAUUGGGUCAGAAUCUGUUUCUUCUCAGGGACAAGUAGGAAAUACGGAAGAAGCACUCAAACCAUCUGAUCCAAUUGUACCAGAAGGUACCAUCUCUGAAACUCCUACAAAAAAACCUGGUCUUAUGCCUAGUCAAGCUGAUUUAUUGACUUCUAUUAUUCAAGGACAUCUAGAAGAUCAAAACAAACCCAUCAGUGGCUUUGGAUCAAACAUUGAUGCUCAACUCUCGGAUUUAUUAAAUAAAGUUUCCACUCCUGUCCCAAUAUCGUCGGCCUCAAGCAGUACUGCUCACGAUACUAUUUUACAGUCAUCUUGGACACCAAAACCAAUGCCACCUCAAUCUGAAGAGUCCUCUCAUCGACCUGGUGAGGAGAAUCAUUUCCAACCGAUACAGAAUAUGAAGAGGAUGAAGAGGGUUCGUUCGGACCAGGAACAUGUAAAUACCUGGGGAAAUUGUACGUUUCAGCACAACAAAUCCCAAGAGAUGAUCCAUGUGAUUUUUGUUUUUGCUUCCGAAGCGAUAUCAUCUGCUUACAACAGAGCUGUCCCCCACCGAUAUUCGGAUGCCGCCAAGAAUCUAUCCAAGGUUUUUGCUGCCCGAGAUACGAAUGUCCCGUUUCCAAAGCUCUAG
rnacentral:lncRNA from 1 species